GCAAUAAAGAUGAGCAAUGUUGAGAAACUGAUGGAGGCCACAAAUGAGUUCCCAUCGCAGUGGAAACUCCGCAGUCCGUACAAAAAGCAAAGCCAGCAAAGUUUACAAAGGAAACCCCUAAUAAACAUCCGGUAGGCUAACCUUGCCUUGACAGCUAAGAAACACAGACGUACGUAUAGUGGUCAUCUUACCAAAACCACAGAAAGUUCAUUGCCACCAAUGGUAAACCAAUUCUCAUUUACAGAAGAUAAUUUGGAGAACAAGGAAGUUGAUCAGUGAAGCAAAAAAAAGGCACAUAAUCUUAAGAGGUCUCAACUAACUUUUUCCCUGGUUUUGAGAGUUGCAGAGAUAAUUGUUUGUUUAUUUGGUUAAUCUAGAAAACUUUUUUAGAAUCAUCAUUUUGAAUUGUGAGGGUACAGUGCUGUGGAGUAAUCAUGAAAAAUGUAAUUUACAUGACUUAACGCUUAACAAAGCCUACCUACCUCAGUUGGUAGAGCUGGUCGUGGGUUGAGUUCGAACCCAUGGCGGCGGAUUUUGGGCAAUAAAUGGAAGUUUUAUUGUCAUUUCAACCAGUUUCUAGUAUAAAAAUUUACUGAGAUUGUCGACCUGUUUCUAGCUAUAAAAAUUUACUGAGAUGGUAUAUAGCUAAAUCACUCUAAUUAAAAAUUAUAUGCAAUCUGCUAUGUUCAAAUUGCUAUAAUAAAACAGAUGAUGUAACUAUUUUCUUAGCUAUAACUGCCUAUAUUAGUAAUACAUGUACGAACACUGACAUUCUAUAUGAAUUUUAACAAAACACUAGAAACUCUGAUUAUAAACAUAGUUAUUUAAGAGUUAAUUAUUGUUUGAGAAUUCUCAUGGUUCUUUAGGAAUUCCUCCUCCACACUUAACCCCCAAAAAAAAAAAUCGUCGUCAACGUAUCAUUCAUAAUUUAAGUGCUGUUAAAUGUAUAUAAAUAAUUUUUUAUAAGAAAUAUCCUUAAAUAGCAUAAAAUCAAGUUUUUAUUCAAAAAAACAAAAAACAAAAGAAGGGAAAAAAUCUCUAGCAUAACAUUCAUUAAAUGAUAAAAAAUCUACUUAUAUAUUGGUAGAGCAUUAGCAAAAACAUUAUGCUUUACAUUAUCCAAUUUUGAUUGGUAGAGCAUUUACAUUUAUAAUUUAUAAAAUUUAGAAAAAUAUAUAAUUAAUUAAUUAAUUUUAUUUAUUUUCUUUACUAAUAUCAUAAAAUUAUUUUUAUCACAAAAUAAAAAUUUACAUUUUAAAAAUAAUUUAAAUUAUGUUAAAUAAUAUUUCAUAUUUAAAAUAUAAUUAAAUUU